rnacentral:rRNA from 1 species
AGUGAACGCUGGCGGUAGGCCUAACACAUGCAAGUCGAACGGCAGCACAGUAAGAGCUUGCUCUUACGGGUGGCGAGUGGCGGACGGGUGAGGAAUACAUCGGAAUCUACUUUUUCGUGGGGGAUAACGUAGGGAAACUUACGCUAAUACCGCAUACGACCUACGGGUGAAAGCAGGGGAUCUUCGGACCUUGCGCGAUUGAAUGAGCCGAUGUCGGAUUAGCUAGUUGGCGGGGUAAAGGCCCACCAAGGCGACGAUCCGUAGCUGGUCUGAGAGGAUGAUCAGCCACACUGGAACUGAGACACGGUCCAGACUCCUACGGGAGGCAGCAGUGGGGAAUAUUGGACAAUGGGCGCAAGCCUGAUCCAGCCAUACCGCGUGGGUGAAGAAGGCCUUCGGUUGUAAAGCCCUUUUGUUGGGAAAGAAAAGCAGCAGGUUAAUACCCCGCUGUUCUGACGGUACCCAAAGAAUAAGCACCGGCUAACUUCGUG